rnacentral:sRNA from 1 species
AGUUCCACCGGAUCCACCGCGCGGGUGGCCAGCAGGUAGUCGCGCAGGGCGAUGCCGUGCCGGUUCUC